CAUGUUGCUCCAGCCCUGCCGUACCCAGGCCUCCAGCUGAGGGGCUUGGGGUAAAAACUGGGGCAAGAGUUGCCUGAGGACAUCAGGGUGCUCCUUCUCUGCCAUUCACAGAAAUCUCAAAUGAUUCUCUUUCGACUCCUAGUUUGGAAAAAUAUUUAAUGUUUCCAGAUUGAACAACUAGCAUCUGUUUGUGCAAACCAACCUUUUGUCCCACCUGUUUCCAGAACAGUAUUCCCUGUGAGUUUCAGGUGCCAAAGCUCACAGCUGAUGGAGAGGUUCCAUGGGUAUCUGCCCAGAGUGAUGCCUCUCACAGGCACUGGCAGCUGCUCCAGCGACCAGAGGAUGGAUCCUCUCUCUGGGUUGUGUACAGACAACAAUCUUGCUAAAACCAUCAUCCCUUCCUCUGGGCUACAUGAACCCUGAACUACACCUCCAUGGCCUCUCUACAGACCAGCCGCCUCUCCUUGAGGAGACUGAAGUUACACACUCCACCAAGUAUUUUCAAACCACUAGAUUCGUUUGAAUGAGUAAUGUUGUUAAAACCUUGAUAAAAGUUACCAAAAUCCUCUAAUCAAUGAGGUGUUCACCAUUCACAGAAAAGAAGCAAAACACAAAUUUCACCCUUCCUGUCCCAAACAGAGGCCAGCAGACAUAUUCCAGUAACACAAGAAUCUGCAUUUUGGGGCCAUUAGUGCUGGUUAUGAUUCCCAAAAGUACAGCGUGCCAUGCUAAGCCAUUACCGCCUGUCCUCGGACAUAAACCUUAUGCAACCUGCGGUGGGCUAACAUGGGAAUAAGUUAGAAAGCAAUGUGAACAUGGCAGAGAUUAGCAGAGAACAUUUCACUGGAUUUAUCUCAAGAUACAAUUUGUUAACAUUUUUUUUCUUCGUUGCUCAAAACAUUCCCUGGUAGUUAUUUUUAGUGAUGACAUAUAUGUUUCCUAGUAAGACAUCUUGCAUUUAAUAGUAAUAAGAAAUAACAUUAUCUACUUUUUAUGAUUGAGGAUGAAGGAGUCUAUUCUAAUAGCUUCAGUUGUCAACACAAGGUCCUCCGGUACUACAUUUCUCGGCCUCCCUGUUGUAAAAGAACAUGCCUAUGUAGAUAUUAUUAAUUUAUCAUUGCACAAAACAAAGUUUAUGAACACUUAAUAUUUAAUGUACUGUGAAUUUAAUAAUAAAAAAUUAAGACCCUACCUUACAUCAUUUUUUAACUAUCUGAUUUUUAUUCUUCUCAUUAGCUCUUUAUGGAUCUAUUCUGAACCAUGGCUUGGGCUUAAAAGCAGUUAGUUGUAUAGGCUGAAGAGCAAAUACUUCCUCUCUAGCCCAGCUGAACACAGAGACAACACCAUGAUGAAAUUAAGCACUAUGACAUUUCUACCAUGCAUAGAACACAGGGACAUAAAUACAAAUACAAACCUGUAGUGCAAUUAGAGCAGCCACCUACACAAACUGAAGACAUGGGUCUUCCUGCCUAGUGAAGACAUUAGACAGGUGGGAUUUUCUUUCACAAAGGUUUGAUGCUUUUGCGUUUACACGUUGCCAGUUACUGCUUCUCUAAGGGCUUAUGCCACUUCUGUCUGUCCGAGCAGCUUCUUGCAUAAAUGUGAUUAAUAAAAAAGUAAUUCUCUACAGCAAAAAAAUAAACAGAUCUUCCUUGUUAUUGUGAUUUUGGUUUCCUCAGCACAGCCUGACAGAUCUUGUUGUUACCUGCAAUCCCUCUGGGAGCUCAAAAUAAAGCAGGUUGGGGGCUUCAGCUCAUGAACAUGCCUUUUGGUUCCAAAGGCAAUGCCUGGCUCAGUCCCAGCUGAGGAUCUGACUCUGUUAUGUCUCAACACACAUAUGCUUAUGGUAUAUGAUUCUGCUCCUACAGUAGUAUUCAUUCUAGAUUUCAAGUACAGAACAUGACUCAUACUCCUUUCUUUCUUUACAUUUGUAUUAUCUAGCCUAGCUGUUGAGGGUUUAGUCAAAAGAAUAAUUAAUGUUUAGUUGAUAAUCUGAAUCCCAACAGCUCAUCCCAGACAAUGUUCCUUGACAGCAAAUCCUGCACCACAGAGAUUAAGGGACAAAUUUGCAAAUGUCAGAAGGCAAGGACUGCAUGCAGAAAUGCAGCACAUUCACUAGCACACCCCAUCCAUGCUGUCCUGCACUGCUGCAUCACAUUGGUAAAAAAUCCACUCUGCACCAGCAGCAGCACAGCCAUGAUUUGGCAUGGCUGUAUAUAGCACUCAUGUAUUUAGGAACGUGGAUCGCCAGGCAUGUAUUUAGCUGGACAGCUGUACAUGCAAAUAUCCAACUUGCACAUCCAACGUGUGUGUGCCUCUCAGGGUAUGCAUGUCCCACAACCCAAGUAGUAGAGCUGGAACAAAAAUAGAGAAGAAGCCUUCAUCUUGUUAAAAAUGUGGCACUGAUCUCACUUUUUUCUAAAUGAGACAGAAGGCAAAUGUUCUCCAACAAAACAUAAACAGUGAAUAACAGAGCUGGAAUAUUAAGAUGCCUGAGUAUGGGAAAGAAGCAAGAUGAGCCAGAAAGGGAAAACCAGCAGCAGAGCUCAAGUCUUGCCUAUGAUCAACCCAAGCGGAGCACGCUGCUAGGAUUGCCCCUGCAGAUCAAUGUGCAUGGGGAAAGAAAGGAGAGGUGACACUAUCCAAGAAAAGGAAACUCAGAAAACUAUCAGGAAGGGAUUUGGAGUAGAAAAAACAAGUCAUUAGGAAUGGAAGAGAAAAGGAAAAACAGGGCCUGAAAACCACCACACGUCCCUGGGCCCACUUUGGAAGGAAGGAGAAGUAAAAGACUUGUUUCUUCCAUUGAGAGUUGAAUCUGAUGCACUGGUCAGUGAAUGACAGCUGAAGCUCAGCUACCUCUUGCCUUCAGACAACUCCUCCCCAGGACAGCACCCUGGACAUCGGGGCAGAGGGCAGGCUGCAGGGAGCAAGAGGAGGAGGGGGAGACCUCUGUGACUUUGACCUUGGAGGAGUCCCACAUUUGGGAUCUGUCCUGUUUUCUUGUUGUGUGUGUGCCUAGAAGAUGGCCAGAAUCUAGCAUCUGAAUGCAGCAGUUCCCAAAAGCAAUUCUCCUUUUUGCAGGAGAGUGGAUGGUACGAUGUCGACGUAGCACAACAGAUGCUUCAGUCCAGAGGAAAUCAGGAACUAUGCCCCUGCCUGUGGUGCUGGGAGUGGGUGCAGAGUGGUACCUCUUGCCUGCCAUUCCUGCUGGCCCAUGGGUACCUUGCUGCUCCAGCAUCUCAACAGCAGCACAGCAGCUACCAGAGGAAGAUGAUUUCAGGGAAUAAAUAGACUCGGUGGCAAUGUGACACUAUGGUGGCUGUCAUCACCUGGGAUGUCACAGACCAUCCACCACCAUAUCACACCACCGGUCCCUGCUCCGUUCCUUGCUGUUACUCUGCAUGCCUCCUGUGCAGCCCUGCCAGGGAAACAUCCUCACAGGUCAGGGCUGGUGUGAAAAGGGGUUUUCUUCUCGCAGUCUGUGUGCUGCAAAAGAAAAUUAUUCUAUUCCUCUCCUCCCCUCUCCAGGCAACAGGACAGCCCCUUGCAAACUUGUCAGUGACCUUUUUGUUACAGGUGGCUCUCAGUGCAACACCUAGGGGACAGAGUUGCAAAAUGCCACUAGGUACAAACCUCUAGGAAAGUAAACAGCUCCACCAAAUACAAAGAAUUGUACCUUGGCUCACUCACUGAAAUAAAUGAGAGUACCAGUUUUUUUGUUUUCUUUUCUUUUCUCAUGCUCUGCUGUUCUCAGAGCCCAGGUCUGCUGCAGUAAAUGACCACACUGCUUGAAACACAGAGCAACACCAGGCUCCAGAGCCUUUCUGCUCACUGAGGCUUAGACCACUGUUGAUCAGCUACAUGGGCUGCUCUGAGCAUGGCUAACCGUCCCUCUGUCCCCAGCUUGAUGCUUUACUUCUUCACAGCCCUCUGUGUAACUGCAUGAGUAUCUAACCUCCCUCCCAGGCAAUAAACAUCCUACCACAGAUACAAGAGAGCACAUAAAACCUUGAUGUAAGGACUAAAGACCGAAGGUCAAGUGUCCUAAGCAAGUGCCUGUUCCUUGAAACCACCGUGAUUAAAGUGCUGCCACGUGAAAUUUUGGAAUACAUGUGUGUAACUGCUUCCUGCAAGCGUCUGUUAAAAAUCAAGCUGAAUCCUUUAAUUGCAAGGUUGGUGAAAGCUGCUUUGUAAUUUGCAGAGGGUUUGUGUAAUGCAUGUACAUAUUUAGUGAGGGGUAAUGAACCCUCCUUCACCUCCCAUCCAAUGAAGCAUUAGCACCACCAGUUGGUCAUCGAGCCUGAAUAACACUCAGUCCAAAGUGCAGCAACAACACAAGAUCUUUGUUUGGGCUCUCAAGAGCAAUGCACUGUGUCACCCAGACAUACUGCUUAGUUGACCUGAAGUUGAGGCAAGUCACAUUAAAGCUGUGUAGGUGCAGUUUUUCCUGGGUUUGUUGACUGCACACGAUGCGUUCCAGCUUGAAAUUUAAAACAUGCCAGUUAGAGAAUCAGGAAACUUUGAAGGGCCUAUCUGCUCUUCUCUACUAUUACAGCAGGAAUUGUUUUCCUUUUUCCUGCUUCUCUGCCUCCGCUUCUCUCUUCCCCUUUGCUUGCUCGUGGACAGUAUGCAGGCAUUUCACAACACUUGCAGAGACUUCAAGUCUUAUUCUUAUCUGUGCUAAGCCUCCUGGCAUUGCCUCGGGAUUGUGCAUGAAGUACCUUUAUAUCUGCUUUACACUUCUUUUUGGUCAUGAGUACAAUCCAAGAAAGUCCUAGAGUAAAGGAGAACCAGGAUCACCACAUCUGCAGUGUUUCAACCACCACUUCAUGGGGUUAUCUGGGAUUUUCUCCAUCUGGCUGAGAUGGAGAAAGAGUGGCAACCAACACUCAGCAAGGAACAAUACCUCCUAAUAAACACAACAGAGCGUCAGUUCAGUGCAUACAAGGAGGGAAACUCUAUAAUGCGUCCCCUUACAAAUAAAGGCAUCGUAGACCCCCAAGUGCUGACAUUAGUAUCCAGCCCAUGGCACCAGAUGGACCAG
ensembl:lncRNA